CGAGAAGCUUGUCUUCUUGGCUUGCGAGGAGCUUGAUUUAUUUGAUUCGGAGGAUCACAAUGAUAUGCCAUGGCAGUACCUUAGAAGCCUCCAGGAGCUCGAAUUUGCAAAUUUGUUCAAAUUGGCGUCACUCCCAAAGGGUCUUCAACAUGUUCCCACUCUGCGAAAACUCACGAUCCAAAAUUGUCCUAAUUUGAUAUCUUUACUGGAGUGGAUGGGAAGCCUCACCGCAUUAUGGAUUGAAGAAUGUCCUCAACUUUUGGAAAGAUGCAAAAGUAACAUUUGUGUUGAUUGGCCCAAAAUUGCAGACAUCCCAAAUAUUAGUAUUGACGGUAGAUGGAUUCAAGAGGAUGGCUGC
rnacentral:misc_RNA from 1 species